rnacentral:rRNA from 1 species
UACGUAGGGGGCAAGCGUUGUCCGGAAUCAUUGGGCGUAAAGAGCGUGUAGGCGGCCCGGUAAGUCCGCCGUGAAAGUCCAGGGCUCAACCCUGGAAUGCCGGUGGAAACUGCCGGGCUGGAGUCCGGAAGAGGCGAGUGGAAUUCCUGGUGUAGCGGUGAAAUGCGCAGAUAUCAGGAGGAACACCGGUGGCGAAGGCGGGUCUCUGGGCCGAUACUGACGCUGAGGAGCGAAAGCGUGGGGAGCGAACAGG